GCGCACCAGGCGCGAAACCUCCGCAAUACACGAAAGUGUGACGGGGCCAUCCCGAGUGCCGUCCGCUGAGGACGGCUGUUCCCCAGUGUACACAGCUGGGGGAAUAAGGAGAGGGCAAGCCUGGUGUCAGCCGCCGCGGUAAUACCAGCUCUCCGAGUGGUGGGGACGCUUAUUGGGCCUAAAGCAUCCGUAGCCGGCUGGGCAAGUCCUCCGUUAAAUCCAACGAUUCAAUCGUUGGGCUGCGGGGGAUACUGUCCAGCUUGGGGGGCGGGAGAGGCCGACGGUAUUCCCGGGGUAGGGGCGAAAUCCUAUAAUCCCGGGAGGACCACCAGUGGCGAAGGCUGUCGGCUAGAACGCGCCCGACGGUGAGGGGAUGAAAGCUGGGGGAGCGAACCGGAUUAGAUACCCGUGUAGU
rnacentral:rRNA from 1 species